AUUGAACGCUGGCGGCAUGCCUUACACAUGCAAGUCGAACGGCAGCACGGGGCAACCUGGUGGCGAGUGGCGAACGGGUGAGUAAUGCAUCGGAACGUGCCAUUGAGUGGGGGAUAACGUAGCGAAAGUUGCGCUAAUACCGCAUAUUCUGUGAGCAGGAAAGCAGGGGACCGCAAGGCCUUGCGCUCUUUGAGCGGCCGAUGUCAGAUUAGCUAGUUGGUGAGGUAACGGCUUACCAAGGCGACGAUCUGUAGCGGGUCUGAGAGGAUGAUCCGCCACACUGGAACUGAGACACGGUCCAGACUCCUACGGGAGGCAGCAGUGGGGAAUUUUGGACAAUGGGCGCAAGCCUGAUCCAGCCAUGCCGCGUGAGUGAAGAAGGCCUC
rnacentral:rRNA from 1 species